GUCUACGACUCUCCUACCCUGAACAAGCCUGGUCCUGACUGAUCUCGGAAGCUAAGCAGAGUCGGACCUAGUUAGUACUUGGCUAGAGACCACUUAGGAAGAUCUGGUGCUGUAGGCG
rnacentral:rRNA from 1 species